GAGGGGCAGUGAGAAUAGUUUUUUUUCAAUAGGGGCAUCUUGAGUUGAUCUCCAGAAAAUCUGUGUGUGAGAUCUGGUGCACAGUUACGCCAAAUACCAGAUAAAAUCAACUGGAAACUUGUGAGGGCGGCUAUGGUGAUUCAGUUAGGCGUAGAUCCUCCUAAGGCAUGUAGUAUUAUCGGUUGUCAAAUCGUCUAUGUAAUCUUUCUUAUAAUUGUAAUAUCCUAAUAAAGCAGCGUUAAAAAAAUGUAAAGUGUAAUAAAUGGAGGGCUAAUUUAGUAAGUGCAAACACAAAAGGGUAUUUAGUUUUUUUUCAAUAGGGGCAUCUUGAGUUAAUCUCCAGAAAAUAUGUGUGUGAGAUCUGG
rnacentral:lncRNA from 1 species